rnacentral:rRNA from 1 species
UAGAGUUUUAUCAUGGCUCAGAACGAACGCUGGCGGCGUGCCUAACACAUGCAAGUCGAGCGCGAAUGGGGCAACCCUAGUAGAGCGGCGCACGGGUGCGUAACACGUGGAUAAUCUGCCUGGAUGCCUGGGAUAACCAGUCGAAAGAUUGGCUAAUACCGGAUAAGCCCACGGUCUCUUCGGAGGCUGAGGGAAAAGGUGGCCUCUGUAUACAAGCUAUCACAACCAGAUGAGUCCGCGGCCCAUCAGCUAGUUGGCGGGGUAAUGGCCCACCAAGGCAACGACGGGUAGCUGGUCUGAGAGGACGAUCAGCCACACUGGAACUGAGACACGGUCCAGACUCCUACGGGAGGCAGCAGUGGGGAAUUUUGCGCAAUGGGCGAAAGCCUGACGCAGCAACGCCGCGUGUGUGAUGAAGGUCUUUGGAUUGUAAAGCACUUUCGACCGGGACGAAAACCCGAAGCCCAAUACGCUUCGGCUUGACGGUACCGGGAGAAGAAGCACCGGCUAACUCUGUGCCAGCAGCCGCGGUAAUACAGAGGGUGCAAGCGUUGUUCGGAAUUAUUGGGCGUAAAGCGCGCGUAGGCGGCUUUGCAAGUCGGGUGUGAAAGCCCUCAGCUCAACUGAGGAAGUGCGCCCGAAACUGCAGAGCUUGAGUGCCGGAGAGGGUGGCGGAAUUCCCCAAGUAGAGGUGAAAUUCGUAGAUAUGGGGAGGAACACCGGUGGCGAAGGCGGCCACCUGGACGGUCACUGACGCUGAGGCGCGAAA